AGGAAAGGAAAGGAAAGGGAACCCAACUGGCUGAGUUUCCAUAUGACAUGAAGACAUUAACUAUGGUUUACAAAAUGAAAUAGUUGGAUUUACAGACUACACAAAGCCAAGAUAAGGAACACACAUUAUGAUUUGGUAUGAUGUGUGAACCCAGCCCUGAGUUCAAUGGGAUAUAGUCUUAGGAAAUGAACAAUAGGAUUGCUACCUAAUUUAUUUCUGUUACUGUAUUCAGGGAUUCAACUUAAGAUAUUUUGAUUCAUAAUCAUCUAUUGGCCUAUAAGAAGAUACAUAAUUUACUUUAUUUGUGAAUGAAUUGUAUUUCAGAUUCUCCAUUUCAAGACCAACUAAAUUAAUAUCAUACAAAAAUCCAGUUGUUGCUGUGGGGGCCAUUGACCAUCAGGGUGCUAGGAAGUGAAUUAAACUUUCCCCCCUUUUCAGUUAAAAUGACUGUCCUGCCCAAAAUUGCUAUUGACCUCAGUAGGACAGCUCCCAUUUAUUUUCUGUAUGUAUAUAUAUUUAUAUAGUCUUGGUCUGUUCAACACACUUUUUUGCUUGGUAAAGAAUAUUCUGCUUAUUUCCCCCAAAAUGUCAAGCUCUAUCUAGGCCAUUGUCAAACUCAAAAACUAAAAGGCAGAAAUUCAACACGUAGCUCUUUGAUAAGCUAGUUUUAUUACAUAUACCUGCUCUAGAAGAAGCUGCACUAGAACAGAAAACCAGCAUCUGCCAGUUAUAAACCUAAGAAUACAAGCCUUAGGAACCUUCCAGGUUCAAAUCUUCUAUCUUCUUUUCCUGCCUGUGUUCCCUAACAGAAUGAGAGCUGGUUGUUUCUCAGAGAGGUGCUUGACAUCCAUGCAUUGUUAUUAUAAUGGACUUGUCUGGUCUCAGGCUCUUGGUCCAUUUAGCCCUCACAAAACAUAUGAGGAAUAGCAGCAUGAGAGUAAUAGAAUGGGCAUUGGCAAAACAGGAUUGUCCUUUCAUACCAUUUGAGCAGGUGAUAGUACUAGCUAUCUAGGAAGGAAGAAUUUUUUAAUCCUAGGGAGUAGGAAGAAUUAUUUAAAGUUUGUCUUGUCAUAUUUAUAUUGACAAAGAAAGGAUAGCUGGCCAGACGCAUAGGUAUACUCAGUGAUGAGCAAGACUACAAACUGAAAUUAAAACAUGAAUUAGCUAGCUGUCUCAUUCCAAAAUGGGGACGGGAAGAUAUACAAGAUAUAGGUAAACAAUUUAGCCAACUGGUGCAAUUCUCCACCCCGAAGAGAGGUGGAGAUUCUUUAUUGGAGACUGGAACAUUGUCACUUUCAACAUUCAGCUUCAGGAACAACGAUCAAGCUAAUACAAGCAGCCAAUCGUCGCUUGCCACUUGCCACCAGUCGAUUGGGCACAGGACAGAGGGAGGUAGGAAAGAAGUUGGGGAUACGCCCAUGACAAUCACACGACCUGGGAUUAUACAAGAGGCAAAACCUGGGCUGCAGCCAGUUGCCUGCAAGUACUCCUCCCCAAGUCAUUGGCUAGAUUACUGUGAUGUCAUGGAAUUUUUAAUGAAUUGCAGCUUUACAGGUAAAGAUGACAUCAACAAAAUGUUGACAGUACAGCUUCUGUAGGAAUAGCAAAAGGUCAUCAGGCUGGGAGCAAGUUAUCAUAUGAUAGCCAGGGACAAAUAUGCAUUAUUCGCAAGAAGAAAAGAUUAAAAGAUGCUGCCUUUAUUUGGAUCACACAACUGACUGAUUCAGCCAUUCUCCAUAGCAAUUAAUUCAGCCCUAUGCAAAAGAACAACAUGAGCACGGAUGACAGUUUUUUCAGCUGCCACCAAGGAGUCCAGGAGGCUAUCAUACUCUGGCUUUGGUGGGGGAAAAAUAAAUAAUGGCCCAAUUGGGGUUGGUGUCACUGAGGACAGAGGGAAUUAUUUAAUUUACUAAUUUAAUCCAUAGCCUGCCUUUUUACUCUGGUGAGGUAAGGGAGCCACAAGGCAAGGAGGACAAAGGUAGUGAUCAAAUCAAGUUACAGAUCGAAAAGAGGGAUAGAAAUGGAAGGAAGAAAGUAGAAACUGAAGAGGACUAUACAUGAUGUAUACAGAAUCUAAAGAAAGUCUGCUUUUGGUGAUACGAAAGAAACAGAGCUUUGGAGCACAGGGGAGAGAACAGAGACUAAAAUGAUAAUGGAGCUGAAUUUCUCACAUAGCUAAACCUGCCAUUUCUCUUUAUUUUAAGGAUGCGUGGAAAUCUGUACUUUUGUGUAGUAUUAAUAAAAGUAUGCCUACUUCUGUGCCUAGAAUAUGGCUUAAACAUUUUGGUUGGUUGCUUUUAUUGAUAUAUGCUAACUUUGCACAUAUAUGGAGUUGGUAAAUUAAUUCAGUUUGCAAGAGGAAAGUGUACUGGCUAGGAUGAAGAAGAGAUACUAUAGAUUGGUAAUGGGAUUAUAAAACUUCACAAGUUUAUUUUCUUCUAAGAGAAGUUAGACACAAUAAAUAAAAAUAGGGAGAGUUGCAAUGAGGCCAAUUUUGACCUGGAUUAUCAGGUCGAAUCAUUGCCAGCAAUGAGCACCAGGUAAUAUUCUAACAACAACAACAAAAAAAGCCAAACAAGUAAGCCAGGAAAUACAUUGUAAAUACAACAAAUAGCACGGUGGUCUGUGGUCCAUCUUUUCCUUGCAAGGGUAUUGGUUCCUGGUGUUUGGAUGUACCCUAUUAUAGACUCUGAGAAUAUCGGGUUGCAUAUUUAUUAGCAAAGCUGAACUAAUGAGAGGCAGCGUGUAUCCCUUUUUUUGAUUGGACACAUAUGACCCUUGCUUUGAUUUAAUGACCCACAUUUUACAACUAGUGAGUGAGAUGGAGGCUGUAGUGACCAACAGUGCAGAAGCAAAUAAUUCUGGGAAGGUAAUGGAAGAACUUCACCCUGAAAAAAGAAAUCCUUACCUGGCUGCCUGUUUCUGCUAUCAGUGGUGACUUUGAAAAACAGCUAUAAGACUGAUCAAGUUAUUAUUAGGUACAGAGGAAAAAAUACAGCUGUCCCCGUUCCCAGGCAAAUGCUUUUGCUCUUAGAUUAAAGGAGUCACUCUCAGUAUAACCAAAGUUGACUUCUGUGCAUUAUAGUCAAGAAAAACCCUUAUUUAUCAUGUUGUCCCUGCAUUCCCUCUUUCCCUUUUCUGCUUGGGAUCCAUCAAGAG